rnacentral:rRNA from 1 species
AAACCCUGGUUAAGGAACUCUGCAAAUUGACACCGUAACUUCGGGAGAAGGUGUGCCGCUGGCGGUUAGUGACUUCGCGUCACGAAGCUGUUGGUGGUCGCAGUGAAAUGGCGGUUGUGACUGUUUACUAAAAACACAGGACUCUGCGAAGUCGUAAGACGACGUAUAGGGUCUGAUGCCUGCCCGGUGCUGGAAGGUUAAGGGGAUAUGUCAGCGCAAGCGAAGCAUUGAACCGAAGCCCCAGUAAACGGCGGCCGUAACAAUAACGGUCCUAAGGUAGCGAAAUUCCUUGUCGGGUAAGUUCUGACCUGCACGAGGGCAUAACAACAUCCGCACUGUCUCGACCAGGGACUCAGCGAAAUUACAUUGGGGGUGAAGAUGCCCUCUACCCGCGGAAAGACGGAAAGACCCCAUGAACCUUUACUGCAACUUGGCAGUGAUUUUCGGGUUGUUCUGCGUAGGAUAGGUGGGAGGCUUUGAAGCCGGGCUUCCGGGUUCGGCAGAGCCAACGCUGAAAUACCACCCUGAAUAAUCUGGAAAUCUAACCUGCGCCCAUGAUCUGGGCGAGGGACACUGCCUGGUGGGCAGUUUGACUGGGGCGGUCGCCUCCUAAAUUGUAACGGAGGCGUGCGACGGUUCCCUCAGGCUGAUUGGAAACCAGCCGUAGAGUGCAAACGCAUAAGGGAGCUUUACUGCGAGACUGACAAGUCGACCAGUUGCGAAAGCAGGUGUUAGUGAUCCGGUGGUACCACAUGGAAGGGCCAUCGCUCAUCGGAUAAAAGGUACUCUGGGGAUAACAGGCUGAUCGCGCCUGAGAGUUCACAUCGGCGGCGCGGUUUGGCACCUCGAUGUCGGCUCAUCGCAUCCUGGGGCUGGAGCAGGUCCCAAGGAUUUGGCUGUUCGCCAAUUAAAGCGGUACGCGAGCUGGGUUUAAAACGUCGUGAGACAGUUUGGUCCCUAUCUUCCGUGGGCGCAGGACACUUGAGAGGGGCUAUCCAUAGUACGAGAGGACCUGGAUGGACGAACCUCUGGUGCUCCGGUUGUCACGCCAGUGGCAUAGCCGGGUAGCCAUGUUCGGAACAGAUAACCGCUGAAGGCAUAUAAGCGGGAAGCUGGCCUCAAGACUAGGUGUCCCUGACGCAAGUCACUAAAGGCCCCUCGAAGACUACGAGGUUGAUAGGCUCGGUGUGGAAGCACAGCGAUGUGCGGAGCUAACGAGUACUAAUAGGCCGUGCGGCUUGACCUC